GUUUGAAUUGCUCUAAAUGCUUUGGUUUCAGAUUUAUAAGCCAAAAUCUACAUUUUACCCCUAUGUUCUAUUUUUAGCCAUGGCGGCCAUCUUAGUUGGUUGGCCGGGUCACGUCACACAUUUUUUUUAAAACUAGAUACCCCAAUGAUGAUUGUGGCCAAGUUUGGUUUAAUUUGGCCAAGUAGUUUCAGAGGAGAAGAUUUUUGUAAAAGCUAACGACGGACGACGACGACGACGACGGACGACGACGACGGACGCAAAGUGAUGAGGAAAGCUCACUUGGCCCUUCGGGCCAGGUGAGCUGAAAAAGUGGAGGAAAGGCUCACACACCAUUAACAAGUUGUCUUCACAUUGUAUCCUUUUCGUGAUUAUUGUUUACAGACUUAUAUAUUUAUUUUGCAUGUCAUUUUUUUGCAAGCUGGCCUACUAGUAUGUCAAUUUUCCUUAUAAUGAAUUCUGUUUUGUUUGUUUGAUGGUGUUUAUUUUAAAUCGACUUUGGCUUCAUGACGUUGCUCAGUUUUGAAUAAAUAAUAAUAAAAAAGAUAAUCUUUCUUUCAAGAGGAUUAUCACAUUAGUUGAAAUUUAUCUUCCUCAGAGUCCUCAAAAUAGUAUUAACAUAUUUAUAGGUAACAAGCUAUUUUAAUGAUAUAUAAUGAAUGGAUGGAAGAAGAGGGAGUUUUCGAACAGAUUCCACGACCGUCGGUAAAAUCAUGGAAAUUGUUGUGACAGUGCACAGUUACGACUCGGGUACUACAUAACAUAGAAGCGUCUGGAUACAGGUUCAUUCUAUAGUGUUUUGACUAUUCUCUGUUAUUUGAUAUCAUUUUCUACAUGUCAAUUUGUUGAAAGGAGAAUUUGGUAUGAAUCCUGAAUCUUGAAUCUAGUAUGUUUCUAUUACUACUGUAUUUCGUUGAACUUUACAUUUCGCGGUUCUUUUUUUACCUUGAAAAUUGGUAUCCACGGAUAUUUACGAAUCCACAGUACUAGUAUAUUAACGGUUUUAACCCCAGGCCAAGUUAGAGCUUGCCAUAUUCUUUACAAAUAAUUCAUACCACUAAAAAGAAUAGAUACCAAAUCUCAAUAGAUAAUCAUCAUAAGUAACUUUUGCAUCACAUUUACUAUACAUGGUCAUAUAUACA
rnacentral:lncRNA from 1 species